UUUGAUCCAGAGAUUUCCGAAUGGGGAAACCCAGCAUGAGUUAUGUCAUGUUAUCGAUAUGUGAAUACAUAGCAUAUCAGAAGGCAUACCCGGAGAACUGAAACAUCUUAGUACCCGGAGGAAGAGAAAGAAAAUUCGAUUCCCUUAGUAGCGGCGAGCGAAACGGGAAGAGCCCAAACCAACAAGCUUGCUUGUUGGGGUUGUAGGACACUCUAUACGGAGUUACAAAGGACGACAUUAGACGAAUCAUCUGGAAAGAUGAAUCAAAGAAGGUAAUAAUCCUGUAGUCGAAAAUGUUGUCUCUCUUGAGUGGAUCCUGAGUACGACGGAGCACGUGAAAUUCCGUCGGAAUCUGGGAGGACCAUCUCCUAAGGCUAAAUACUCUCUAGUGACCGAUAGUGAACCAGUACCGUGAGGGAAAGGUGAAAAGCACCCCGGAAGGGGAGUGAAAUAGAACCUGAAACCGUGUGCUUACAAGUAGUCAGAGCCCGUUAAUGGGUGAUGGCGUGCCUUUUGUAGAAUGAACCGGCGAGUUACGAUUUGAUGCAAGGUUAAGCAGUAAAUGUGGAGCCGUAGCGAAAGCGAGUCUGAAUAGGGCGUUUAGUAUUUGGUCGUAGACCCGAAACCAGGUGAUCUACCCUUGGUCAGGUUGAAGUUCAGGUAACACUGAAUGGAGGACCGAACCGACUUACGUUGAAAAGUGAGCGGAUGAACUGAGGGUAGCGGAGAAAUUCCAAUCGAACCUGGAGAUAGCUGGUUCUCUCCGAAAUAGCUUUAGGGCUAGCCUCAAGUGAUGAUUAUUGGAGGUAGAGCACUGUUUGGACGAGGGGCCCCUCUCGGGUUACCGAAUUCAGACAAACUCCGAAUGCCAAUUAAUUUAACUUGGGAGUCAGAACAUGGGUGAUAAGGUCCGUGU
rnacentral:rRNA from 1 species